AAAAGGUCAUUCUCAUUACCUCUUUCCAUUCUGGGUGUGGUUACCCAUGAUUCCUAGCAUGCCUCCACAUUGUAGGGCAGAAAACGUAAACAUAGAGUGAGCUCUGAAGCAUCAGUUAUUGGUAAAGAGAGAUGAUGGUUAAAUCAUGCGUGGUGUUCGGGUGUACAAACCAUGGAAAUGUAGGCAAGAGGUCACUCAGAUUUUUUGGCAUCACAACAGUCAUU